rnacentral:tRNA from 1 species
AAAAUCCGUCGACUUUUUAAACUAUCCCCA